CAUGGCCAAGGCAGGUGGAGCGC
rnacentral:miRNA from 1 species